CAUGUUUCCAAUUAAAACUGAGCCCAGGAGACUCUGCAAGCCUGGGAUGGGCCAUGGAUGUGUCCUGUGCUCCCCUCCAGCACUGCCUGAGGUUUAUUUUCCUCCAGAUUGAUUGGAUGAGUUGUGUUCCCAGAGAUCAGAGAGUUCAGAUGGCAGAGGAUCCUCUUACCAGAAGAUGAAAGCCAACAUAAUCAACUGCACAACUUCAAAACAUGCAGCUUGUUCUUGUUGGCUGUGCCUAAGUUUUCCCUGCAGAGAAGCUGUCGACAAUGAUUUGAUAUCAAUCCAGUAACAAUCCCUGGUUUCUAAUAAUAAUUUGCACUUCAGUAGAAAUGUUCAUGUGAGGCUCUGAGAGCAUUUAGCAGAUGGUCAUUAGUGAAGCUCCCCAGUUCUCCUGCGAGGAAGAGAUAACAAUUACGAGCCUUGUUUUACAGAUGGCGACACCGAGGAAAACGUGGUCAAAGAGAUGAGCCUGGAAAGCAAAAAGCAAAUGACUCAAAGGCAGGAUUCAUGACACAUUUCUGGAAAUAAGGAAUUAGGUCUGGGUCAAUAAAUAACUGGGAAACCAGGGGGA